UACAGAGGGGGCAAGCGUUGUUCGGAAUUACUGGGCGUAAAGGGCGCGUAGGCGGCCUACUAAGUCAGACGUGAAAUCCCCCGGCUUAACCUGGGAACUGCGUCUGAUACUGGAAGGCUUGAGGAUGGGAGAGGGAUGUAGAAUUCCAGGUGUAGCGGUGAAAUGCGUAGAUAUCAGGAAGAACACCCGUGGCUAAGGCGGCUCUCUAGUACGGUACUGACGCUGAGACGCGAAAGCGUGGGGAGCGAACAGG
rnacentral:rRNA from 1 species